GUCGGGAUAGCUAGCUGU
rnacentral:tRNA from 1 species